UAAAGUUAGAUUGGUUAACCUUGUACAAUACUGUAACAUGGUGCUUUGGAAUUAGAAGCAUAGAGCGGUAACAUUUGCUGCCAAAAAAGCCAUAUUUAUUAACUCAACAAAGCUAUAAGGAGAAGGAUUUGAAAGGCAGGACACAAUAUUUUAUCUUGAGAAUCAUUUCUGAUCUUCAUCAUCAGAAGUCUCAUAGAACCACUUUUUUUCUUUAUUUUUUAACUGGACAUACUAAUCAAUCCUAUAAAAACUGAAAGACUAUGAAUUUUUCAUCACUGCACUAUGGCUUUCAAGUUAACUGUAAAUAUUUAUAAAUCCCCUCUUCCCAAUACAUAUGAAGGUAGAAGGAAUCUAAAAGAAUUUAAGACAAUGGUAUUUUGACUUGUUCUCUUUUCUUUUGAUCUGAAAGAUUUUGUAAAAAAUUGUUUCAUUGUGUUA
rnacentral:lncRNA from 1 species